rnacentral:rRNA from 1 species
CCUGAGAAACCCAAAAGAUCGAAUGGGGAGAUUCAUCGUCAGCGAUUUUGGCACGUGUGCGGUUCGCGAUGCCGGAGACUUCGGUCUCCAGGCACGCGUCCGCAUGUUUUUCAUUGCCUUAAACGUCGGCGUGCACUUCUCCCCUAGUAGGACGUCGCGACCCGUUGGGUGUCGGUCUACGGCCCGGGCGGUAGCCUGUCUCGUGUACGCUUCGCGGCGUUACGCGGUUCAGACCCCCGGUUGCCUGACCGGCUGCUCGGCGGUACGCGCACGGUAUCUGGCCGCAAAUAUUCGAACUGCGUCCGGCCCGUCGCAAGCGAGGCAAGUGUUUCCCGGCUGUACGGAUCUAACGCCGUCACCGGGCCUUGCCAGCUGUUGGUUGACGGUGUCCUAGGACAGGCCAAUGCAAUUAUGAUACCGGUCGGCGACGCUACUGCUUUGGGUACUUUCAGGACCCGUCUUGAAACACGGACCAAGGAGUCUAACAUGUGCGCGAGUCAUUGGGUAUUAUUAAGCCUAAAGGCGCAAUGAAAGUGAAGGUCGAGCCUUGCGCCGACCGAGGGAGGAUGGGCCGCGUCACGAUGCGGUCCCGCACUCCCGGGGCGUCUCGUUCUCAUUGCGAGAAGAGGCGCACCCAGAGCGUACACG